UUCCCAUCUCUUUAAGGAUUUUCCACAGUUUGUUGUGAUAAACAUGCUCAAAGCCUUUCUCAUAGUCAAUGAAAAAGAAGUAGGUGUUUUUCUGGAAUACUCUUGCUUUUUCUAUGAUCCAAUGGAUGUUGGAAAUUGAUCUCUGGUUCCUCGCCUUUUCCAAACUCAGCUUGUACAUCUGGAAUUUCUCGGUUCAUGUACUGCUGAAGCCUAGCUUGAAGGGUUUUGAGCAUAACCUUACUAGCAUGUGAAAUGAGCACAAUCCUAUGGUAGUUUGAACAUUCUCAUGGCUUCCCUGGUGGCUCAGACAGUAAAGAACCCACCUGCAAUGCAGGUGACUUGAGUUUGAUCCCUGGAUUGGGAAGAUCUCCUGGAGAAGGGCAUGGCUACCCACUCCAGCAUUCUUGCCUGUAGAAUUUCAUGGACAGAAAAGCCUGACAAACUACAGUCCAUGGGGUUGCAAAGAGCAGGACACAGCUGAAAGACUACCACUUUCACUAGCACUUUGAACAUUCUCUGGCAUUGCCCUUCUUUGGGAUAGGAUAGAAAACUGACCUUUUUCUUUCCUGUGGCCACUACUGAGUUUUCCAAACUUGUUGACAUAUUAAAUGCAGCACUUUAAUACAUCUUUUAGGAUUUUAGGAUCCACCAUAGUGACAGCAUUUUACCUUGCUCAGCUCUUUGAAAACUCCAUCUCCAAAUACAGCCGCAUCCUGGGGUCCUAGGGGCUAGAGGUUCAGCAUGUAAAUUUUGGGGGACACGAAUGAACCUAUACUGUCCGCUUAGGAAUGAGCUAACACGUGCCUCGGUCCCUCCUUCCCUCAAGUCCCGUGGGGGUGAUAUAAUGGCCAAGGGAGAGACCACUCUUGCAGUGUUUGUGUCCCAGCUGGUGAACCCUUCUCUGCUCUGUUUGAUCAGGCAGCAGCAGUCCCAGCCCCAUUCUGGGAUUUUGUGCUGCAUCCUGCUGAGGUGCCCAGUGUUCCGGAACCCAGGAGCCAGCAGCCUCAUGAGGACAGGGCCAGAUGACAUGUGCAGAGGUUUCAGCACUGCUAGCUCCUGCAUCUUGGGAAGAACUCCACAAAAUAAAGCCCAUAGUUUAUGCGUGAUCCAUUUUGCCUUUUGUCUACAGAGUCUGUUUGUUGCAGGGAGAAAGCCAAUUCUGACUCCGUGUUGGAAACUGUUUCUUUCACUUGUUCUUUUUUGUUUUUGUUUUUAUAAUCAUACUUAAUAGUAUGGACACUGCCCUUCUUCUUGACUGUAAACAAAGACACCUUUGUUCAGCUCAUAGAGAGAUAAUUCAUUCUUUCUCACUCAGCAGUGGCCACAGGACUGGAAAAGGUGAGUUUUCUUUUCAAUCCCAAAGAAAGACAAGGCCAAAGAAUGUUCAAACUAUUACACAAUUGCACUGAUUUCACAAGCUAGCAAAGUAAGGCUCUAAGUUCCCCAAGCUAGGUUUCAUCAGUAUGUGAACUGAGAACUUCCAGAUGUUUAAGUUGGAUUUAGAAAAGGCAGAGGAACCAGCGAUCAAAUUGCCAACUUCCCCUGAAUCAUAGAAAAAGCAAGAUACCUCCAGAAAAACAUCUACUUCUGCUUCUUUGACCAUGCUAAAGUUGCUAAAUGUGUGGAUCACAACAAACUGUGGAAAAUUCUUAGAGAUGGGAAUACCAGACCACCUCACCUGUCUCCUGAGAUACCUAUAUGCAGGUCAAGAAACAAUAGUUAGAACCAGACAUGGAAGAACAGACUGGCUCCAAAUUGAGAAAGGAGUACAUCACAGCUGUAUAUCAUCACCCUGCUUAUGUAACUUAAUAUGCAGAGAACAUCAUGCAGAAUGCCAGGCUGGAUGAAGCACAAAGUGAAAUCAAGACUGCCAGGAGAAAUGUCAAUAACCUCAGAUAUGCAGAUGACACCACCCUUAUGGGAGAAAGUGAAGAGGAACUAAAGAGCCUCUUGAUGAAGGUGAAAGAGGAGAGUGAAAAAGAUGGCCUAAAGCUCAACAUUCAAAAAACUAAGAUCAUGGCAUCCGGUCCCAUCACUUCAUGGCAAAUAGAUGGGGAAACAAUGGAGACAGUGACAGAAUUCACUUUCUUGGGCUCCAAAAUCACUGUGGUCAGUGAGUGGAACCACAAAAUUAAAAAAACGUUUGCUCCUUGGAAGAAAAGCUAUGACCAACCUAGACAACGUAUUAAAAAGCAGAGAUAUUACUUUGCAGACAAUGUCCAUCUAGCCAAAGCCAUGGUUUUUCCAGUAGUCAUGUAUGGGUGUGAGAGUUAGACCAUAAAGAAAGCUGAGCAGCAAAGAAUUGAUGCUUUUGAACUGUGGUGUUGGAGAAGAUUCUUGAGAGUCCCUUGGACUGCAAGGAGAUCCAACCAGUCCAUCCUAAAGGAGACCAGUCCUGGGUGUUCAUUGGAAGGUCUGAUGAUGAAGCUGAAGCUCCAAUACUUUGGCCACCUGAUGCGAAGAGCUGACUCAUUGGAAAAGACCCUGAUGUUGGGGAAAAUCUAAGGCAGAAGAAGGAGAUGACAGAGGACGAGAUGGUUAGAUGGCAUCACCGACUUGACAGAUAUCAGUUUGAGCAAGCUCUGGGAAAUGGUGAUGGACAGGGAAGCCUGGUUUGCUGCAGUCCAUGGAAUCACAAAGAGUUGGAAAUGACUAAGCGACCAAACAAUAAAUAUGUCAGAUAUGAUUUAUCUUUGUCUUUCUAUUGAUUCAUGGCUCAUUCCUGUCUAUUGCUGGGCAGUAUCCCCUUGCAUGUGUAUGGGAGGAAAAACAAUUUUUCCUCUACUCUUGUAGGUUAUUAGUUGAGACUUCUGUAAAAAACAAAGAAAAAAAAAUAGAUUACCAGGAGAAAAAAACAGUUUAAUAACAUGUAUACCUCCUAUAUAUAGAAGAGCU
ensembl:lncRNA